CAAUAGCGUAUAUUAAUGUUGUUGCAGUUAAAAAGCUCGUAGUUGGAUUUCUGGUGGAAGCGACCGGUCCGCCCCUCACGGGGUGUGCACUAGCGUCUGUCUUUUGCCAUCCUUGCGAAGAAGCGGUGUGGCAUUAAGUUGUCGCGCCGUCUGACUCGCAUCGUUUACUGUGAAAAAAUUAGAGUGUUUAAAGCAGGCAAUUGCUGUGAAUACAUUAGCAUGGAAUAAUAAGAUAGGACUUUGGUACUAUUUUGUUGGUUUGCAUAUCAAAGUAAUGAUUAACAGGGACAGUUGGGGGUAUUCGUAUUUCGUUGUCAGAGGUGAAAUUCUUGGAUUUAUGAAAGACGAACUACUGCGAAAGCAUUUGCCAAGGAUGUUUUCAUUG
rnacentral:rRNA from 1 species